UGAGCUCAGUUAGGAGAGGCACCUUUGCCUGUUCUUCUGAUGGUAAAAACUCACUUAACCCAUUUGGGUGUUCAGAUGCAAAGUGCCUCUACAGCCUCAUCAUAUGAUCUUUCUCGUUGCACUCCUUCUACAACCUGAUUCCUCUCUCUCUCUCUCUCAGGUAUUCAUAUGGCCGUUAAAAUUACUGCCACUAUCAGUCUGUUGGUGGCUGUGGUUAUAGUUGUGGUCAUCCACAGGAAGAGAUCAGGGGAUCCCCAGGGCAAACACAACACCUCGGCUCCUAGUGUUGGAUCAGCUGCAGCCAGCCAGUCCUUGUAGCCUUGUUCUCCUUUAGACCCAGCUGUUCACAGAGUCUCCAUCACCUGAGUCCACCUCCAUCCACUGCACAUUAGGAGCUACAGGAUGCCAGGCUGGGGUUUAGGGAGUAAACAGUGUAAUCGCUUUAAGUUCUGAAGGUCUGAAAACCUCUCUGAGUGUGUAAGGCCCAUCAUGUCUCUUCUAAUGUUGUAUAACUGAAUGCAAAGCUCCUUUGAAUGUACAUGUCAGAACCCAGAUUGGAAAUCAAGAGUAGAUCCGGUCAAACUCGUAGUGAAUACAUUUUAGUUUGUAGCAGUCAGACGGUAGGCAAAAGCACAGUCCAGUGACAGGCAGAGUUCAUAGGCAGACAGGCAGACAGGUUUGAAUACCCAAACUGAUUGGCCUGAUGAAACAAAGUUACCCAAAAAGGUCAUGGGUGUGGCCCUAGGCACCUGACAACAGCACAUGGCUGGAUCAACAAAACAAGGAGCUAACGUAACAUUGACAGGCAAGGGUAACUCUU